CAUUUCUCGGCACUCAAAUCCUGAGACGCUAAGUAGCAGAAAGGAUGCAGAGAGGACAGCCAAACCCCGAAUUUGAGACUGACGACUUUCGUCACUGGCAAAGGGAGUUUAGUCAACAACAAAAAGUUGUGGAUUCCCAGAGGCCAAGCCCACCAAGAGAGCCAGUUCGACGAAUUGUGCUAAUUGGAAAGACUGGACAUGGAAGGAGCGCAUCUGGAAACACUAUCCUGGGAUGCACCAGAAGAGAGGACUGGAAAUUUAAGGUUACAACAGGCGUGACAUCUGGACUGCAGCAGUGUGAAAAACAUGAAACUGUCAGAUUUGGGAAAAGGCUUGUCGUGAUUGACACCCCGGGGUUAUUUGACACAAAUUCAGAUUGCACUGAAACAGAGAUCGGGAGGUGUGUGUGUCUGUCUCAACCAGGCCCGCAUGUCUUCCUCCUCGUCAUCGGUAUAAACACUAGGUACACUACGGAGGAGAAAGAAACCAUUGAACAUUUUGAGCGGAUGUUUGGUGAGAUGGUAAAGCCAUACACCAUCGUUCUUUUUACAGGGAUGGACGAAUUGGAAUAUGGUGGGGAGACACUUGAGGAGCGAUUAAGUAGGGAUGAACAGUUUAGGAAUCUUGUACAGAAGUUUGGGAAUAAAUACCAUGGAAUAAAUAACAGAAGACAUGACGAUGAACAAGUGAGGAAGCUUGUUGACAAAAUAGAGGAUGUAUUG